UCAAGCGAACAAGGGCGCAGGGCGAAUGCCUUGGCACUGGGAGCCGAUGAAAGACGUGAUAAGCUGCGAUAAGCUUCGGGGAGCUGCAAAUAAGCAUUGAUCCGGAGAUUUCUGAAUGAGGAAACUCACCUGGGUUCAUACUCAGGUACGUUGUACUGAAAUUCAAAAUAGGUACAUCGGGGGAACCGCCUGAACUGAAACAUCUAAGUAGGGCGAGGAAGAGACAUCAAACGAGAUUCCGUAAGUAGUGGCGAGCGAACGCGGAAGAGGGCAAACCGGGAGUAGAAAUACUUCCGGGGUACGGACUGCUUUUAGGACUUAAUCUGUUAACCGAACGGCAUGGGAAGGCCGGUCAGAGAGUGUGAGAACCACGUAGGUGAAAACGACAAGAGCUGAGCGAUUUCCAGAGUACGGCCAGACACGUGAAACCUGGUCGGAAGAUGGGGGGACCACCCUCCAACCCUAAAUACUACCCAGUGACCGAUAGCGUAUAGUACUGUGAAGGAAAGGUGAAAAGCACCCCGGGAGGGGAGUGAAAAAGAACCUGAAACCCUGUGCCUACAAGCACCUAGAGCGCGUCAAUGCGUGAUAGGGUACUUUUUGUAGAACGGUCCGGCGAGCGAUUGUAUGCAGCAAGGUUAAGGACUUAAGGUCUGGAGCCGAAGCGAAAGCGAGUUUGAAAAGGGCGUUAAGUUGCAUAUAAUGGGCCCGAAACCGGGUGACCUACCCAUGGUCAGGUUGAAGUGGAAGUAAAAUUCCAUGGAGGACCGAACCGACCUCCGUUGAAAAGGCGGCGGAUGAACUGUGGGUAGCGGAGAAAUUCCAAUCGAACCCGGAGAUAGCUGGUUCUCCCCGAAAUAGUUUUAGGACUAGCCUCAAGUUAGAUACCUGGAGGUAAAGCACUGAAUAGCCUAGCGGCCGAGAGGUUAGCGAAGCUUAUCAAACUCAGAAUGCCAGAGUAUUGAUGCUUGGGAGUCAGACAGUGUCAGAUAAAUGUCAUUGUCAAAAGGGAAACAGCCCAGAUCUACAGCUAAGGUCCCAAAGUCAGGUUAAGUGGAAAACGAUGUGAAGAUACGCAGACAACCAGGAUGUUGGCUCAGAAGCAGCCACUCAUUCAAAGAGUGCGUAAUAGCUCACUGGUCGAGCGUCUUUGCGCGGAGAAUUUAACGGGGCUAAACCUGACACCGAAGCUUAGGCAAUCCAGUAAUGGAUUGGGUAGGGGAGCGUUGUAUACGCGGAGAAACAGUAGCGUAAGCGGCUGUGGAGUGUAUAGAAGUGAGAAUGCCGGAAUGAGUAGCGCGAAUGCAGUGAGAAUCUGCAUGGCCGAAAGCCUCAGGUUUUUGGAGGAAGGUUCGUCCGCUCCAAGUUAGUCGGGAGCUAAGGUGAGGCCGGAAGGCGUAGCCGAUGCACAGACGGUAGAGAUUCCGUCACCACCAAAAGAGUUAAGCACAGGGACACAUUUGAAGUCUCAGAGCCGGGUGUUGGUUCCGGUAGAGAUCGAGGGAAAUUAGUACCGAAGUCUGGGAUGGAAGAUGGCGAGAAAAGCUGUGUGUAUUUCUGAGGUGCCCGUACCGCAAACCGACACAGGUAGGUAGGAAGAAGAUUCUAAGGCCAACGGGAGAAGGGUUGUUAAGGAACUCGGCAAAUUGACCCCGUAACUUCGGGAGAAGGGGUGCUCCAGAGAUGGAGCCGCAGAGAAUCGGCCCAAGCAACUGUUUACCAAAAACACAGGUUUGUGCUAAAUCGAAAGAUGACGUAUACGAGCUGACGCCUGCCCGGUGCUGGAAGGUUAAGAGGAGAUGUGCAAGCAUUGAAUCGAAGCCCCAGUGAACGGCGGCCGUAACUAUAACGGUCCUAAGGUAGCGAAAUUCCUUGUCAGGUAAGUUCUGACCCGCACGAA
rnacentral:rRNA from 1 species